GGGUGAUUAGCUGUCAGGGUGCUAGGGGAUACUGCUAGGCUUGGGACCGGGAGAGGUGAGAGGUACCUUGGGGGUAGGGGUGAAAUCUUGUGAUCCUCGGGGGACCACCAGUGGCGAAGGCGUCUCACCAGAACGGGUCCGACGGUAAGGGACGAAAGCUAGGGGCACGAACCGGAUUAGAUACCCGGGUAGUCCUAGCCGUAAACGAUGCUCGCUAGGUGUCAGUCACGGUGCGACCGUGAUUGGUGCCGUAGGGAAGCCGUGAAGCGAGCCACCUGGGAAGUAUGGCCGCAAGGCUGAAACUUAAAGGAAUUGGCGGGGGAGCACUACAACGGGUGGAGCCUGCGGUUUAAUUGGAUUCUACGCCGGAAAUCUCACCGGGGGCGACAGCGAUAUGAAGGUCAGGCUGAAGACCUUACCCGAUUAGCUGAGAGGUGUGGCAUGGC
rnacentral:rRNA from 1 species